CCAGUACGCGGUAUGGAAGCGGCUGUGGCAGCAGUGGCGACUGCUUCCCAUCCUUCCACGUCCCUCUUUCAAAUCCCGGCACACCGCUGCCGGUACACGCCGCUCCUUCAUAUCUCCGCCUAGAACUCCUGUUCUGACCUGGACUACACUGUCAGUCUUACAUCACUUUUAACAGCAAUUCGCAAAAUCGGAACGUCACUGGAAGCUACAGAGUAACACUUACCCUCAAGUUCUGAAUGACGGGCGGUCGAUUCGACUUUGAUGAUGGGGGGACCUACUGCGGAGGGUGGGAGGAUGGCAAAGCCCACGGCCACGGUGUGUGCACCGGACCCAAGGGCCAGGGAGAGUACUCUGGCUCCUGGUCGAACGGUUUCGAGGUAGUUGGCGUCUACACCUGGCCCAGUGGGAACACGUAUCAGGGUUACUGGGCGCAGGGGAAGAGACACGGGCUCGGGAUUGAAACCAAAGGGAGGUGGAUUUACCGAGGAGAGUGGACUCAUGGGUUAAAGGGCCGUUACGGAGUCAGGCAAAGCGUAAACACGCCGGCCAGGUACGAGGGUACCUGGAGUAACGGCCUGCAGGACGGGUAUGGCGUGGAGACGUAUGGUGAUGGAGGCACGUAUCAGGGUCAGUGGAGUGGUGGCAUGCGUCACGGCUAUGGAGUACGUCAAAGUGUUCCUUAUGGCAUGGCUUCUGUCAUCCGCUCACCUCUACGAACUUCGCUGUCUUCACUCCGCAGUGAGCAGAGUAAUGGUACAGUACUGCGUGACAGCCUAUCCGAUAGCCCUGCUGGCACACGUGGUGGUUUUGUGCUCAACUUCCAAUCAGAUGGAGAGGGUUCAGAGAAGAGAAAGGGUCUUUUUCGCCGUGGCUCCUUUUUUGGUAGCCUUCAGCGACUACGCAAAUCUGAUUCACGCUCAUCAAUUUCUAGUAAGCGCAGUUCAGCACACAGUGACACUACUAUGAGCCGCAUCAGUUCAAGUGACGCCAACUCUACCAUUAGCUUUGGAGAUGGAGACCCUGGCGAUGACUACCUGCCUCUUGAGGACAGUGUGGAUGCUACCACCACCGAGUCGUAUGUGGGCGAGUGGAAAAAUGACAAACGCAGUGGCUUUGGUAUCUCUGAGCGGUCUAAUGGCAUGAAAUAUGAAGGCGAGUGGUUGAAUAAUAAACGCCAUGGCUAUGGCUGCACCAUCUUUCCUAAUGGGACGAAGGAAGAAGGGAAGUACAAGAACAAUAUGCUGAUCCGGGGUAUCAGGAAGCAGCUGUUCCCACUAAAGAAUACCAAGACCAAACAAAAAGUGGAUCGUGCCAUUGAAGGAGCAGUGAGAGCAGCAGCCAUCGCCAGAACCAAAGUUGAGAUUGCCAUCUCCAGGACGUCCCAUGCCCGGGUCAAAGCAGAGUGUGCAGAUCAGGCUUCACAAUCAGCCUGCCAGGAUUCUGAUAUUGCCCGAGCUGUGGCCAGGGAGCUCUCCCCAUCUUUCCAUCAGCCAGGACCCGACUACACACUGCAGAAGUACAGUGACUCGCAAGAUGUAACUGAGAAGCCCAGAGAGGAGACAAAAGAGAAAUCUCUUUCGGGGAGCCCACAUUUCUACAGGAAAGGCACAACACCAACCCAGUCUCCAUCUGCAAGCCCAGGUCCCAGCCCUAGUCCUUCACCUACUGCUGCUAAAAAGGCUUUUUACAGCAGUAAAACUCUUGCCUCUGAUGCAGCAGCGGAGGCUUUGACAGCAGGCAUAACAAAAGCAGCGUCAAAACUUUCUCUGAGACAGCAAGUAAGGCAACAAGAGGCUUCUCCAGCAGUCAAACAGUCUGCUACCACUACAGUCAGCAGUUACUCAAGCAAUGGACAGAUUCACUCCCAGUUCCAUGGUUACCAUGUUAAAGCAACUCUUAAGAUUCAACCCCCUGAAGAACCAAUUGGUGUAGUGGAUGAUCUUCACCCAUCUGACCUUGUACACUUGCUGCCAUCACCUGUCAAACAAAUUCAACCACCAGCACCAAAACCCCUGCCAGCCCCUAUCCCUUCACAAGUUCCAGCAAAAGAUGGCACCAAAGCACAAGAGCCUCCCAAGGAACCGCAAAAAAAGGAAUCAAGCAAAUCAAGGAGCCUUGCAGAAACCAAGAAAGCCAGUAUGGAAAUGGAUCCUGAAAUUGUAGAGGACAAAUCGGGCCCUAACUCUAUCUUGGUGGUUCUUGUGAUGCUGUUGAAUGUAGGUCUAGCAAUCAUUUUUGUCCAUUUCCUCACCUGACCAAAUAUGGGCUCGGGUAAGAAUUUGCAGCUGUAUAAGUAUUUCACAACUGAAACUGGUUUGCUGUUGUGUUUAUCGUGCACUCAGGAAAGAUCGGUCAUUUAGAAUACAACCUCAAUACAAACUGUAUAUAAAAACAGAAGUGCAGUGAUCUGCAAAGCUAUAAUUUAUUCACAACAGAAAACAGAAAGAGUAGCAAAUGUUUACAAUAAGACAAUGUACCCCUUUAAGAAAAUAUUACUUUAUAAAGAAGUUAAGACGGUGGCAAUAAAAGACUGGAAACUGUAAGUGGUACUAAAAAGAGGAACAUUUUACUGAUACAUACUAAUUAUUAUCAUUUUACAAGUAAUCAAAAAGGAGUUAUCUUUAAAAUCCUUCUAUUGCUUUAUACAGGUCCCAAUGCUUUUCCCUGCUUUGUCCCCUCUCCACUACAGUGUCAGACCUCUCAGGUCAUCAGGUGCACAUCUUUAAACUGUUCCCAGAAUUAGAUCCGAGUGUGGUUGGGGGGCUUUGAGUUACUGUGGUCCUUGUUUUUGGAACACGAGUCCCUCUUUAGUCCAGACAUGUUUUCCACGAACGAGCUAAAGAAGGACCAUCUUGCUUUGUUACCUGUGCUCAGUUCAAAAGUCUGCAUAUCUGAUGCUAUGGGAUGCAUUAGUGCUUAUGGAAUUGGCAACGCCAUCAUCAAUGCUAAAAGUGUUUAAUAUGUGGUUCCAGCUAUAUGACGUCUGACGUUCUUGCACAUUUUUAAUUUGUUGGUGUAAACAUGAUAUUUUCUGUUGUGAAUAAAAUAUGGCUUUAUAACAUUUGCAAAUUAUUGCAUUGCAUUUUACACAUUUUUGGAUUAAAGGCUCAUCAGUCCGAGUCAAACAUGGCUGCUGAUUACAUUCAAAACUGUAUUCACUCCACUGACAUGACUGUUAACACAUUUUUGUUCUAUCCCUGCAUUGCACCUUCACAAUGGUACGGUUCUACAGUUCUGCUGUGGUAAUUCUUCUGUUUUCAGUUAGCCUGGAACGUUUGUGCUCCAAUUAGCAAAACUGACCCCUGGGCCUGGUUUGAAUAUAUGUUUGACACUGACGGAUGCACAGGACACGAUGGAGUAUCCAUGGAGACUCCAUCCUUGCCUCAUCCUCUGGUGAAAGGACUACGAGGAAGAGAGAAAUUAAUAAUUCAUGGAUCCAUCCAGACUAGUCAGAGGGGCCUUUUUUAAAAACGACAGCAGACAGAACAGCAGACACAGACAAAACGG